GAUCCCAUCAGAACUCCGCAGUGAAGCGUGCUUGGGCGAGAGUAUUACUAAGUUCGGUGACCACUUGGGAAGUCCUCGUGUUGCACCCCU
rnacentral:rRNA from 1 species